UACGGGGGGGGCAAGCGUUGUUCGGAAUUACUGGGCGUAAAGGGCUCGUAGGUGGUCAACUAAGUCAUACGUGAAAUCCCUCGGCUUAACCGGGGAACUGCGCCUGAUACUGGUUGACUUGAGUUUGGGAGAGGGACGCGGAAUUCCGGUGUAGCGGUGAAAUGCGUAGAUAUCGGAAGGAACACCAAUGGCGAAGGCAGCCGCCUGGGCCUGAUCUGACACUGAGGCGCGAAAGCUAGGGGAGCGAACGGG
rnacentral:rRNA from 1 species